UUCAUUGCGCAUGGCGCGCCUGCUCGAGAACCAUCCCAAGAUCGAGCGAGUGUACUACCCUGGUCUCCUGAGCAGCCCGUGGCACGACAUUGCCAAGAGCCAGAUGACUGGUUUCGGCGGUGUCAUUAGCUUCGAGGUAGCCUCGGACCUGCAUGGUGUCAUGAGGUUCAUCGACGCGCUGGAGAUACCUUUCAUCGCGACGUCGCUCGGUGGGUGUGAGAGCCUCGUGCAGCAGCCGGCGGUCAUGUCCUUCUGGUGCGUUGUUUUUUUGGAUUAGUUUACAUUUGCAUCUCACUACAAACUUAUAUGAAGAUGCAUGCAGCAUGUAUGGUUGAAUUUUUUGACUUAUAUGGCAUGGAUCUUUGUUUUCAUCAGGGGUCAGAGUGAGGAGGAGAAAUCCAAGAAUGGGAUCAAAGACAACUUGGUGCGGUUUAGCUUCGGGAUUGAGAAGUUUGAGGAUCUUAGGGAUGACAUUAUCCAAGCCCUGGAGAAGAUUUAGGACACUUCCUGAUCAUCAAUAGUAACAAGGAUCUUGACCAAAUUAGCUAUGUCAAAACCCUUUUGUACAUAUGAUAGGUAGUUAAUUUUUGCUAAAUUUCAAUGGAGAUGGAAUUGGUAGGAUUUUGUUAUUUCUUGAAGGAAGAAGCUCCAAUUUGCUUCAGGCCUAGAACCAUAUAUAAUUGGAAGGAGAUGAAUAUACAAGANNNNNNNNNNNNNNNNNNNNNNNNNNNNNNGCCCGUGGCACGACAUUGCCAAGAGCCAGAUGACUGGUUUCGGCGGUGUCAUUAGCUUCGAGGUAGCCUCGGACCUGCAUGGUGUCAUGAGGUUCAUCGACGCGCUGGAGAUACCUUUCAUCGCGACGUCGCUCGGUGGGUGUGAGAGCCUCGUGCAGCAGCCGGCGGUCAUGUCCUUCUGGUGCGUUGUUUUUUUGGAUUAGUUUACAUUUGCAUCUCACUACAAACUUAUAUGAAGAUGCAUGCAGCAUGUAUGGU
rnacentral:lncRNA from 1 species